UUGUCCUUACCCCUUGUGAAGGGUCACCAAGGAUUAGAUCCCUUGGAUGACCAUGUGCAUACCUCCAUUCCCUCGGAAGAUCUUGAUUUCUUGCUUGGGGUUGAUCUUCUUCAUCUUGCUGAAUUGUAUCUUCCUUGACUUCAUCCUCAAGUUGUUUGUCUUGUAUGGAGAACUCCUUCAUUCUGUCUUCAAGUAUACCUGCAUCACCAUCUUCUUCUUUUCUAGAAGAAUCUCCAUUAGCUUCAUCAAAAACAACAUGAAUGGAUUCUUCAACAACGAGAGUUCUCUU
rnacentral:lncRNA from 1 species